rnacentral:rRNA from 1 species
GAUGAACGCUAGCGGGAGGCCUAACACAUGCAAGCCGAGCGGUAUUGUUUCUUCGGAAAUGAGAGAGCGGCGUACGGGUGCGGAACACGUGUGCAACCUGCCUUUAUCUGGGGGAUAGCCUUUCGAAAGGAAGAUUAAUACUCCAUAACAUAUUGAACGGCAUCGUUUGAUAUUGAAAGCUCCGGCGGAUAGAGAUGGGCACGCGCAAGAUUAGCUAGUUGGUGAGGUAACGGCUCACCAAGGCGAUGAUCUUUAGGGGGCCUGAGAGGGUGAUCCCCCACACUGGUACUGAGACACGGACCAGACUCCUACGGGAGGCAGCAGUGAGGAAUAUUGGUCAAUGGGUGCAAGCCUGAACCAGCCAUCCCGCGUGAAGGACGACUGCCCUAUGGGUUGUAAACUUCUUUUGUAUAGGGAUAAACCUACCCUCGUGAGGGUAGCUGAAGGUACUAUACGAUUAAGCACCGGCUAACUCCGUGCCAGCAGCCGCAGUAAUAC